UAGUGGGCGGGCGGAGGGCCAGCACUCCGACUGGGACCCCAGCGCCCCGAGGUCCCCGGGACCCGCUCCGCUCGGUGUCUCCCUGUCCCGCCCCCGUGUUUGUCCCACCCGGAGCCUGGCUCUCUGGGAAGAAGCCCGUAGUUUCCAGACUCGGGACGUUCAUUCAGAGAGAGUUCCUGGUUGUGUGCCAAGUGCCAGGCACUGUGCGGGGCCGGGUGGGGCAUGCCGGGUUGAACGGGACCCUCCAGGGCUCACCGCCUGGCCUUACCUGCACUGCUCACUAGUUGCAGGACUUUGGCACUCACCGCGCCUGCCGUGGGACGGGUGGUGUCUUACUGCUCCUGUAUUCAGGACCCGAGCCCUGCUUUCCCACGCCUACAUCAUCUCUCAGGGUGAAUUGGCGUUUUAAGGAUCACUUUAAUUUGCUUUCUGUCAUUUAAUGUUUUCUUUCUGAUACCACCCCUUUCCCCAUCACUCACACACACACACACAUACACACGCACCCCUCCCCCUUUCUCGCCUGCCUCUGUGACUUCUGACUCCUCCCUCCUUCACUUUCAUCUGAUAUCUGGUUUUUCCCAGGAGCCUUCUCUGUGGCCUGCUGUGCCUACGUUUUUGGACUAGUCCCAGUUACUUCAGGCCUACUGUCUGCCAGCCUGAUGGGGGCUGAGAUAGGUUGGAAAUUCUCCAGGCCAGUAGAAGUUAAUAGAGUCAGUUCUGACCGAGACGUUGGUGUCAGUAUACCAGCACUAACUUCAUUAACACACUCUCCGCUGCACCUGAAUUUGGAGCUUCACAUUUUUGGAAGUAUGAUGCCUGAACGUAGUAAAUAAAGCACUUUUGACUUCAGGAAAGUUUUAUGAUACUUUAUAUUUUUUCUUUCUCUGUUAUUACACAGCCAGCUUUACUAAAUUAAAUGUGUGAAUUCCUUUUAGCAUUUGUUAUUAGGAAAUAAAACUUUUUAUAUAUUGAAAGUGUUUAAAAACUUUUUCCUUUGCUACUGUUAACCUUGAAAAGAGUUUAUUAAAGUUUUCUUUUAGAAACUCA